CCUACGGGAGGCAGCAGUGGGGAAUAUUGGGCAAUGGGCGCAAGCCUGACCCAGCAACGCCGCGUGAAGGAAGAAGGCUUUCGGGUUGUAAACUUCUUUUCUCAGGGACGAAGCAAGUGACGGUACUUGAGGAAUAAGCGACGGCUAACUACGUGCCAGCAGCCGCGGUAAUACGUAGGUGGCAAGCGUUAUCCGGAUUUACUGGGUGUAAGGGGCGUGUAGGCGGGACUGGAAGUCAGAUGUGAAAACUACGGGCUCAACCUGUGGCCUGCAUUUGAAACUGUAGUUCUUGAGUACUGGAGAGGCAGACGGAAUUCCUGGUGUAGCGGUGAAAUGCGUAGAUAUUAGGAAGAACACCAGUGGCGAAGGCAGUCUGCUGGACAGCAACUGACGCUGAGGCGCGAAAGCGUGGGGAGCGAACAGGAUUAGAUACCCGAGUAGUC
rnacentral:rRNA from 1 species